rnacentral:lncRNA from 1 species
CAACGCUGAAGGCAAAGUGUAUUUGUCAUUCAUCACCAAAGGAUGCUGAUCCUUCCUCAUGCCCAAAUGUUGCAUGUCCAGAUGAGCCUUCUCGCUAUCCUUGGAUUUUCCUGCCAUGUUAAGCAAGGUCCCCAGUAUGCUCUCACAUAUAUUUUUUUAAUGUGCAUCACAUCCAAAUUAUGCCUUACAAGCAACUUUUCCCAAUAAGACAGUUCAAAAAAAUACUCUUCUUCCUCCAAUUGUGCCAUCUAGUGUCCUCUUCACGCUGCUUCCUCUUUUUAGUCGUGUUCCCAAAUGUCACUUGCUCAAAGCUUUCAUACUGGUUCAGCACACCUUCCCCA